rnacentral:Y_RNA from 1 species
GGCUGAGCCAGAAGUUAGGAUUUAUAUCAAUUGAUUGCUCACAGUCAGCUACAGAUCAAACUUCUUGUUCUAUUCUUUCCCCCUUCUCACUAUUCCUCUUGAUUAGACUUUU